rnacentral:rRNA from 1 species
UUCUACGGAAGGUAGCACUGAGGAAUAUUGGUCAAUGGAGGAAACUCUGAACCAGCUAUGUCGCGUGCAGGAUGACUGCCUUUUGGGUUGUAAACUGCUUUUGUAUAGAAAUAAAAAUUCCUACGAGAUAGGKAUCUGAAGGUACUAUACGAAUAAGUGUCGGCUAAAUCCGUGCCAGCAGCCGCGGCAAUACGGAUGACACAAGCGUUAUUCGGAUUUAUUGGGUUUAAAGGGUGUGUAGGCUGUUUAUUAAGUCAGUAGUGAAAGCUUACAGCUUAACUGUAAAAUUGCUAUUGAUACUGGUAAGCUUGAGUAAGAUUGGAGCAUCUGGAAUGUAUGGUGUAGCGGUGAAAUGCAUAGAUAUCAUACAGAACACCGAUAGCGAAGGCAGGUUGCUAAAUCUUUACUGACGCUGAUUGCACGAAAGCGUGGGUAGCAAACAGGAUUAGAUACCCUGGUAGUCCACGCCCUAAACGAUGAUCACUAGCUAUUGGAAAAACGAUAUUCAGUGGCUUAGCGAAAGCGAUAAGUGAUCCACCUGGGAAGUACAGUCGCAAGAUUGAAACUCAAAGGAAUUGACGGGGGUUCGCACAAGCGGUGGAGCAUGUGGUUUAAUUCGAUGAUACGCGAGGAACCUUACCAAGGCUUAAAUGUAUUACGAAUAAGCUGGAAACAGCUUAGUCUAUACGACGUAUUACAAGGUGCUGCAUGGUUGUCUUCAGUUCGUGCUGUGAAGUGUUUGGUUAAGUCCUAUAACGAGCGCAACCCCUAUUGUUAGUUGCCAUCGGGUAAAGCCGGGAACUCUAACAAAACUGCCGGUGUAAACUGUGAGGAAGGUGGGGAUGAUGUCAA